UGGGGAAUAUUGGACAAUGGGGGCAACCCUGAUCCAGCGACGCCGCGUGUGUGAAGAAGGCCUGCGGGUUGUAAAGCACUUUUAGUGGGGAUGAAAAGCUCAGGGCUAAUACCCUUGGGUCUUGACCUAACCCACAGAAAAAGCACCGGCUAACUCUGUGCCAGCAGCCGCGGUAAUACAGAGGGUGCGAGCGUUAAUCGGAAUUACUGGGCGUAAAGCGUGCGUAGACGGUUUCGUAAGUCGGAUGUGAAAUCCCCGGGCUCAACCUGGGAAUUGCAUUCGAGACUGCGAGGCUAGGGUGCGGAAGAGGGAAGCGGAAUUUCCGGUGUAGCGGUGAAAUGCGUAGAUAUCGGAAGGAACAUCAGUGGCGAAAGCGGCUUCCUGGUCCAGCACCGACGUUCAGGCACGAAAGCGUGGGGAGCAAACAGGAUUAGAUACCCCUGUAGUCC
rnacentral:rRNA from 1 species